UAAAGAAUAUUGCGCAAUGGGCGAAAGCCUGACGCAGCCAUGCCGCGUGUGUGAAGAAGGCCUUUGGGUUGUAAAGCACUUUCAGUAGUGAGGAAAAGCGAACUGCUAAUACCAGUUCGUCAUGACAUUAGCUACAGAAGAAGCACCGGCUAACUCCGUGCCAGCAGCCGCGGUAAUACGGAGGGUGCGAACGUUAAUCGGAAUUACUGGGCGUAAAGCGCGCGUAGGCGGUAUGUUAAGUGGGAUGUGAAAGCCCCGGGCUCAACCUGGGAACUGCAUUUCAAACUGACAAACUAGAGUGUAGUAGAGGGAGGUGGAAUUUCCUGUGGAGCGGUGGAAUGCGUAGAUAUGGGAAGGAACACCAGUGGCGAAGGCGACCUCCUGGACUAACACUGACGCUGAGGUGCGAAAGCGUGGGGAGCAAACAGCG
rnacentral:rRNA from 1 species